AGAGUUUGAUCAUGGCUCAGAUUGAACGCUGGCGGCAGGCCUAACACAUGCAAGUCGAGCGGUAGCACAGAGAGCUUGCUCUCGGGUGACGAGCGGCGGACGGGUGAGUAAUGUCUGGGAAACUGCCUGAUGGAGGGGGAUAACUACUGGAAACGGUAGCUAAUACCGCAUAAUGUCGCAAGACCAAAGUGGGGGACCUUCGGGCCUCAUGCCAUCAGAUGUGCCCAGAUGGGAUUAGCUAGUAGGUGGGGUAACGGCUCACCUAGGCGACGAUCCCUAGCUGGUCUGAGAGGAUGACCAGCCACACUGGAACUGAGACACGGUCCAGACUCCUACGGGAGGCAGCAGUGGGGAAUAUUGCACAAUGGGCGCAAGCCUGAUGCAGCCAUGCCGCGUGUGUGAAGAAGGCCUUCGGGUUGUAAAGCACUUUCAGCGGGGAGGAAGGCGAUAAGGUUAAUAACCUUGUCGAUUGACGUUACCCGCAGAAGAAGCACCGGCUAACUCCGUGCCAGCAGCCGCGGUAAUACGGAGGGUGCAAGCGUUAAUCGGAAUUACUGGGCGUAAAGCGCACGCAGGCGGUCUGUCAAGUCGGAUGUGAAAUCCCCGGGCUCAACCUGGGAACUGCAUUCGAAACUGGCAGGCUAGAGUCUUGUAGAGGGGGGUAGAAUUCCAGGUGUAGCGGUGAAAUGCGUAGAGAUCUGGAGGAAUACCGGUGGCGAAGGCGGCCCCCUGGACAAAGACUGACGCUCAGGUGCGAAAGCGUGGGGAGCAAACAGGAUUAGAUACCCUGGUAGUCCACGCCGUAAACGAUGUCGAUUUGGAGGUUGUGCCCUUGAGGCGUGGCUUCCGGAGCUAACGCGUUAAAUCGACCGCCUGGGGAGUACGGCCGCAAGGUUAAAACUCAAAUGAAUUGACGGGGGCCCGCACAAGCGGUGGAGCAUGUGGUUUAAUUCGAUGCAACGCGAAGAACCUUACCUGGUCUUGACAUCCACAGAACUUUCCAGAGAUGGAUUGGUGCCUUCGGGAACUGUGAGACAGGUGCUGCAUGGCUGUCGUCAGCUCGUGUUGUGAAAUGUUGGGUUAAGUCCCGCAACGAGCGCAACCCUUAUCCUUUGUUGCCAGCGGU
rnacentral:rRNA from 2 species